rnacentral:rRNA from 1 species
GACUCUCGGCAACGGAUAUCUCGGCUCUCGCAUCGAUAAAGAACGUAGCGAAAUGCAAUACUUGGUGUGAAUUGCAGAAUCCCGUGAAUCAUCGAGUCUUUGAACGCAAGUUGCGCCGGAAGACAUUUGGCCGAGGGCACGUUUGCCUGGGCGUCA